GACGAACGCUGGCGGCGUGGAUUAGGCAUGCAAGUCGAACGGUAGGAUACCUUCGGGUAUCUGAGAGUGGCGAACGGGUGAGUAACACGUAGGUGAUCUACCCUCAAGAUUGGGACAACCCAGGGAAACUUGGGCUAAUACCGGAUGAAAGCAGCAGUGAUGUUGUUUGAAAGGUGGCGUAAGCUGCCGUUUGGGGAUGAGCCUGCGCUCUAUUAGUUAGUUGGCGGGGUAAAGGCCCACAAGGCGAUGAUAGAUAGGCGGCCUUAACGGGUGGUCGCCCACACUGGGAUUGAGAUACGGCCCAGACUCCUACGGGAGGCAGCAGUCGAGAAUAGUCUACAAUGGCCGAAAGGCUGAUAGUGCGACGCCGCGUGAACGAAGAAGCCCUUCGGGUGUAAAGUUCUUUUAUAUGUGAGCAGUGCUUUCUAUGUGAACAGCAUGGGGAGAGAGAUAUUAGCAUAUGAAUAAGCAACGGCUAACUCCGUGCCAGCA
rnacentral:rRNA from 1 species